GACGAACGCUGGCGGCGUGCUUAACACAUGCAAGUCGAACGGAAAGGCCCUGCUUUUGUGGGGUGCUCGAGUGGCGAACGGGUGAGUAACACGUGAGUAACCUGCCCUUGACUUUGGGAUAACUUCAGGAAACUGGGGCUAAUACCGGAUAGGAGCUCCUGCUGCAUGGUGGGGGUUGGAAAGUUUCGGCGGUUGGGGAUGGACGCGCGGCUUAUCAGCUUGUUGGUGGGGUAGUGGCUUACCAAGUCUUUGACGGGUAGCCGGCCUGAGAGGGUGACCGGCCACAUUGCGACUGAGAUACGGCCCAGACGCCUACGGGAGGCAGCAGUGGGGAAUAUUGCACAAUGGGCGGAAGCCUGAUGCAGCAACGUCGCGUGCGGGAUGACGGCCUUCGGGUUGUAAACCGCGUUCGCAUGUGACGAAGCGUGAGUGACGGUAAUGGGUAAAGAAGCAACGGCUAACUACGUG
rnacentral:rRNA from 1 species